ensembl:misc_RNA
CUUACCAUGUGCCAAGUAAGCAAUCUCUGGGCCCAGCGCGACCCAUGGGUUAAUAUGCAGAGGGGCUGCGGGGGAGCACUUAGGGGACCAGGACCUCAGUGAGGCCCCAGAAAGCACCCGGGAGGGGCCUCCGAUCCUGCCUGGGAGGGAGGGGUUAGAGGAGGAUUCCUGGAAGAAGGAGGACCUAAGCUGGGUGUUUCUAUUUUUGAUUUUUAUUGGUUUCCUAAAACAUGAAAGU